GGGUUAUUGAGAGGCUUGCAAGGGAGACACUGUCCUAUAAAAUGCUUGUCCCAGUUUCUGGUCCCCAGUAAAUGUUGGCUAUUGCUUUCAUUCCCUUUUCUCUUUGGGUUAUCCUUCCGGCUUCACUCUCCCACCCACUAUGACUGCAUCUGGGCAUCUGAGUUUUGGCAUUACCCCAUGGGGGCUCUGGCCACCUACAUUCUUGUUCUAUUAGUUCCCAAGAGAGCUGGUUGUUGAAAAAAGCCUGACACCUCCCCCAUCUCUCUCUUGCUUCCCCUUUUGAGAAAAAAAGAAAAAGAAAAGAAAACACAUGAACAGAAUCAUCUCUCACAAGGGCUUCUGGAGACAGCGUGUGAAAAAAAUCAUCUCUCACAACUGCUUCUUUGCUCCUUACUUUUGCAGUAGAAAAUCUGAUUUCUGGAAGGGCCCAGUAACUCAUUGAAGAUUGGUGGCCUGAGGCUUCCACCCCGCAGGGGCACCCACCCCUGAUAUACCAGCACCAGCUCCAUCAGCCCCUGGCUGCAGGUAUGUGUCCCAAUCUCCUCUUCUUUUACAGACACCAGCCAUAUUGGAUUAGGGCUUACCCUAAUGACCUUAUUUUAACUUAAUCAUCUCUUUAAGAACCUCUCUCCAAAUAUAGUCAUAUUCUGAGGUACUGAGGGUUAGGAUUUCAACAUAUGAAUUUGGGGGGACACAAUUAAAACCCUAACAGGAAGUGAGGAGAAUGUAUAAGAGGAAGAUACAAGGUAUCAGGGUGGGAAAGGGGCAAGCAAGUCCUCCCCGAAGAAAUGACAACUCAAUAGAGACUUGAAGCACUAGAAGUUUUCCAGAUUCUAUUACAAAUAAACAUGCACGUGUAUGUUUAUCGCAGCACUAUUCACAACCUUUAAAAACCAGAUCAAACAAGCCUCGCUAGGGUAUAUGAACAUCCCAGGACACUGUGGCACAUGACAGUCGGCUCUGAACUUGGACUUUGCCUUUAUCCCGUCUUCCAUGGGCCUGGCCAAGCUCAUGGUCCCUUCUUCCAUCUUCAAAGCCACAGUGGCCAGUCAAAUCUUUCUCAUGUCCCCUCACUCUGACAUGGAUGCUCCUGCCUCCGUCUUUCAUGUACAAGGACCCCUGUGGUUACAUAAGGUCUCUUCUAUUAGAGAGCAGGGACUUUGUCUUGUUCAUGAUCAUAUCCUCCAUAUCUAGGAUUGUGCCUGACGCAGUUGUAGAUGCACAAAAAAUAUUUGUUGAAUGAACGCAUAAUCAGACGAUGAAACACUUAAUGCUAAACCCCGCAAUGAGUCAGAUGUGAAAGAAUGGUGUUCACGUCUAUUGACUCCCACUCAGGUACUCUAAGGACUAAGUCAGCCAUUCUUAACCCUUUUUGAAAUGCAAGGUAUUGGCAUAUGACAGGUGGUGACCCUGAAGGAUUAUCUGUCCCCUUUGGGUUCAUUUGCACAAUACACACACAAGCCAGUACAACCAACAUCUAUCAGCUCAUGCCCUUCAAAAUUAAUGGAAUCAUUCCAUGAAUGCUUCUGUUAGCAAUGUAGAGAGGAACAGCGUGCGUCCCGUCAGCAAUCCUUCAAUGUCCUGUCCACGCUAUCUGGGUACUUUCUCCAAUGAACCAUGUCCUUUUCCCUUUCACAGCUUAAUUUUUGAGAAAACUGAAAAAUUAUUACCAGUAUAUGGAAAUUUUAAGGCAUUCUUUUUAUGAUGAUUUAAAAAAAACUUAAGCAUGUAAUCUCAUAAUAAUGAUGUAAUUGAUUGUACAGUACAAGCACCUGAAGUGUGGGACCAGCAGUCUGAACCUUAUUUUUCAUUUAAAUCAGGGCAGUUAUCUACUUCUGAGGGUGCUCUUGUCACGUGUAGACAACAGAGUGAUUUGCGCCAUUCCCAACUCUCCCUAGUCGCACUGUGUUUGUUUUGUUGUUGCUCUUUGGGGACUCAUGGCUCUAACUGCAGCUUUCUGCCAGCCUCAUCAGUGCCUCUCAACCUCUUCUGGCUUCUCAGCAUUGUGCAGCCUGUGCUGCAGCCUGUCAUUUGCAAGUCGGUCCCUGUGCUGGGCUGGAAGUGGGUAAUUCUUCCCCACAAUGCCCUGUUUGUCAGUCUUGAGCAUUUAAAGUGCAACGUGGUUGGCAGCAGCAGAUGUGCUGUGUACACCCACUCUGCUCAACCUCAUUAGCUGUCUCGCUGCAAGGCAAAUUGCCGGGGGAAUGCAAGCUCUAGUCCUGCUGCAGAUGCUGAGAGCCGGAUGUUCACUGACAACUCUUCCUAAACAGCAGCUGGUUUCUCCUUCUUUCCUCUUGUGCAUCUUUUGAACUCAGUUUGAGAAACUAACAUUCGUUCAUUGCCUCUACGAACUAUGAAUAUUUAGGAAUAUUCUAAAUGUAUUAAGGCAGAACCACUUAUCAAAUGCGUAUUAUGCAGAAGGUGCAUCCUCUCUACUAUAUUUUAAUCCUCAUUUCAACCUCUGGGAGGUAGGUAUGGAGUCAGAAAGAACUGGGUUUGAAUGCUGAUGCUGCCAUUCCCCAGCAGUGUGACAUGCAGUCCCUCAAGUGACUUCACUGAGUUUUAGUUCCUAAUCUGUAUAAUGAAGAUAAUAAUGCGCCCUCUAUAGGGUUGUUAUGAGAUUUAAACGGGAUGGUUGAUGUAAGUUCCUUAACAAGGUGGCUUGGCAUGUAAUAAGUGUUUAAUAAAGGUAGCUAUUAUGGAGAGUUUGAACUUGGCCAGGUUACUUGACUUACCCAAAGUUGUACAACUAUUAAGUGAUGGAACUGGGCUGUGAGUUCAUCUUUUGAAAUUGAUUUCUGUUGGGGGAAGUUAGGGACCCCGAACAGAGGGACUGGCUGGAGCCGAGGCAGAAGGACAUAAAUUGUGAAGAUUUCAUGGACACUUAUCACUUCCCUAAUAAUACUCUUAAAAUUUCUUAUGCCUGUCUUUACUUUAACUCUUAAUCCUGCUAUCUUUGUAAGCUGAGAAUGUACGUCACCUCAGGACCACUA
rnacentral:lncRNA from 10 species